GAUCAUGGCUCAGGACGAACGCUGGCGGCGUGCUUAACACAUGCAAGUCGAACGAGGAUUUAACGGAAUGCGAUUCGUCAAAUGAAAUUAAAUCCGAGUGGCGGACGGGUGAGUAACGCGUGGAUAACCUGCCUCACACAGGGGGACAACAGCCGGAAACGGCUGCUAAUACCGCAUAACACAAGCAAUUCGCAUGAAUAGCUUGUCAAAGAUUUUAUCGGUGUGAGAUGGAUCCGCG
rnacentral:rRNA from 1 species